GUUGCUAUGGCAACACCCUGGGGUUUGUAGUUGAGUCAGGCCCAAGGCCUCUCUGGCUAAUUUGGGCCCUCUCCAGGUUUGGACUCCAACUCCCAGAAUUCCCAACAGCCUCGGGUCCCUUUCUGUUUCCCCUCAGCUGAGUCACCUCAAACAAAGAAGAUGAGUCACAAAGGGGUGAGGGAGUCAAUCAAGAGAAUGGAGGACAUAAUGCUGUGAAAUGAUCCUAUCCCUUGGUCAAGGGAUAGUUCCUCAAGCCAUCACCAUUGAUAAAGGCAGAGUCAAAUUUCCCAUAGUUAUGGGUCUCUAAGGGCAGAUCCGCACCACGGAAUCCAUUGUGCAACAUGCCAGGACCAAGAUGGUUGCCUUCCUUCUCUGCUUCGAACGAUUCUUGACGACAUGUGUUCUUCACAAUAACGCUGACGACAGGGACAUCAGAAGCCGGCGCUGUGUGGGACAAUGAGGCAUUUUCAUCAAUACAAAUUCCUGACUGCUUGAGAUGGUUUUCAUUCUCCUCCCCAGCUGUUUGAAUGGCUUCCUUUGCAUCGAGGCUGGUUGGAUCAGGAAUGUCAAAAGCAGCCAGCAAGUCGUCAAAAUCCGGAGUUUUCAUGUCCCCCAUGAUGAAAACUACAAAGCAAGAACACACUGUCAAAAACAUGGUCUCUAUAGAUUUGAGUACAGAUAUGAGUUCAAGUAAGUGACAAAAGGAAGACAAGUGAAUUGCUCUGCUAUUAGUUCCUAUAAUCUAGAGUAGGUAUUUCAAUCCCAAAUAUUUUUGGCAUACAAUUCCUAUCAUCCGCAUCCAGAACAGUAAAUAUUGAGUGAUUACAGAUGUUUCAGUUCAAAACCUCAGAAGAAAAAUAGGGAUCAACCUCUGUUGCAGAACUUCAGUUGUUAGGCAGGCAAACUACUCACACUUUCUAGCAGAACUAAAGACCUAAGGACAAUAAAGCAAAAUUGACUUUUUCAAAGUA